rnacentral:rRNA from 1 species
ACUCAAAGGAAUUGACGGGGGCCCGCACAAGCGGUGGAGCAUGUGGUUCAAUUCGAAGCAACGCGAAGAACCUUACCUGGGUUUGAAGAUCAGUCGAAAGGGCGCGAAAUCGCCUCUUCCCGCAAGGGACGGCUGGUUAGGUGCUGCAUGGCUGUCGUCAGCUCGUGUCGUGAGAUGUUGGGUUAAGUCCCGCAACGAGCGCAACCCUUGCUGCUAGUUGCCAUCGGUUCGGCCGGGCACUCUAGUGGGACUGCCGGUGACAAACCGGAGGAAGGUGGGGAUGACGUCAAGUCCUCAUGGCCUCUAUGUCCAGGGCUACACACGUGCUACAAUGGCCGGUACAAAGUGACGCGAUAGCGCAAGCUGGAGCAAAUCACAAAAAGCCGGUCUCAGUUCGGAUUGGGGUCUGCAACUCGACCCCAUGAAGCUGGAAUCGCUAGUAAUCGCGGAUCAGCACGCCGCGGUGAAUACGUUCCCGGGCCUUGUACACACCGCCCGU